rnacentral:rRNA from 1 species
UACGUAGGGGGGCGAGCGUUGUCCAGAGUACUGGGCGUAAAGCGCACGCAGGCGGUCUGCUAAGUUUGGAGUGACAGUUGGUGGCUUAACUGCCAAAGUGCUUCGAAAACUGACAGACUUGAGGGCUUCAGAGGGACACGGAGUUCCGGGUGGAGUGGUGAAAUGCGUAGAGAUCCGGAGGAACACCAAAGGCGAAGGCAGUGUCCUGGGGAGUACCUGACGCUCAGGUGCGAAAGCCAGGGGAGCGAACGGG